CCUACGGGGCGCAGCAGUGGGGAAUAUUGCACAAUGGGGGGAACCCUGAUGCAGCGACGCCGCGUGGGUGAAGGAGUAUUUCGGUAUGUAAAGCCCUAUCAGCAGGGAAGAACAAUGACGGUACCUGACUAAGAAGCACCGGCUAAAUACGUGCCAGCAGCCGCGGUAAUACGUAUGGUGCAAGCGUUAUCCGGAUUUACUGGGUGUAAAGGGCGUGCAGCCGGGCUGACAAGUCAGAUGUGAAAUCCCGCGGCUCAACCGCGGAACUGCAUUUGAAACUGUCAGUCUUGAGUACCGGAGAGGUC
rnacentral:rRNA from 1 species